UACAGAGGUCUCAAGCGUUGUUCGGAUUCAUUGGGCGUAAAGGGUGCGUAGGCGGCGCGGUAAGUCGGGUGUGAAAUCUCGGAGCUUAACUCCGAAACUGCAUUCGACACUGCCGUGCUUGAGGACUGGAGAGGAGACUGGAAUUUACGGUGUAGCGGUGAAAUGCGUAGAUAUCGUAAGGAAGACCAGUGGCGAAGGCGGGUCUCUGGACAGUUCCUGACGCUGAGGCACGAAGGUCAGGGGAGCAAACGGG
rnacentral:rRNA from 1 species